rnacentral:rRNA from 1 species
CCUGACGGUAGUCGUAUGCUCGUCUCCGAGACUAAGCCAUGCAAGUCCAAGUACACGUCCGUGAACGACGGAAAACUGCGAACGGCUCAUUAAAUCAGUUGCGAUCUACUCGGCGUUCCGCGCCGCCGGAUAACCGUAGUAAUUCUAGGGCUAAUACGUGCGAAGCGCCCGAAGCCGCGAGGCGACCCGGGCGUGCUCGCCGGAUACGGAACCGACCCGGGGACCGCCGGGGCAACCCGGCGCCCCCGAGACGGGGCGAACCACGGUGAAACGACGGAUCGUCGGCCCCGCGCCGGCGACUCGCCGAAUGAGUUUCUGACCUAUCAACUCGAGACGGCGGGGUAGAGGCCCGCCGCGGUAACGACGGGUAACGGGGAAUCAGGGUUCGAUUCCGGAGAGGGAGCCCGAGAAACGGCUACCAC